CAAGACCUUGCGCUUUUGGAGCGGCCGAUGUCUGAUUAGCUAGCUGGUGAGGUAAAGGCUUACCAAGGCGUCGAUCAGUAGCUGGUCUGAGAGGACGACCAGCCACACUGGGACUGAGACACGGCCCAGACUCCUACGGGAGGCAGCAGUGGGGAAUUUUGGACAAUGGGGGAAACCCUGAUCCAGCCAUGCCGAAUGAGUGAAGAAGGCCUUCGGGUUGUAAAGCUCUCAGCCGGACCGAAUCGGUCACGGCUAAUACCCGUGACAACUGACGGUACCGGAGGGAGAAGCACCGGCUAACUACGUGCCAGCAGCCGCGGUAAUACGUAGGGUGCGAGCGUUAAUCGGAAUUACUGGGCGUAAAGCGUGCGCAGGCGGUUUUGUAAGUCAGAUGUGAAAUCCCCGGGCUUAACCUGGGAACU
rnacentral:rRNA from 1 species